AUCUAAUGUAGCAUCUUUUUCACAAUUCCUAUCAACUAUAGCAAUUAUCAUAAUUCGUGACAACCAUACUAUGGGAGUUCAGAUCUUCUUUCUUCUUUUAAAAGGAAACGAGGAGUGGAUUAGGAAUCAAACCCUCACCAAUUAUGUGAAAGUUUAGAGUCAACAACUAAUCUGCUAAGAUUCUCACGGGAGUUCAAUUCAAUUCUUCUUUUGUCUUUUUUUUCAAGCAAAGG
rnacentral:misc_RNA from 1 species